rnacentral:rRNA from 1 species
UCCUACGGGAGGCAGCAGUGGGGAAUAUUGGACAAUGGGGGGAACCCUGAUCCAGCCAUGCCGCGUGUGUGAAGAAGGCCUUCGGGUUGUAAAGCACUUUCAGUUGUGAGGAAAAGUUAGUAGUUAAUACCUGCUAGCCGUGACGUUAACAACAGAAAAAGCACCGGCUAACUCCGUGCCAGCAGCCGCGGUAAUACGGAGGGUGCGAGCGUUAAUCGGAAUUACUGGGCGUAAAGCGCACGCAGGCGGUUUGUUAAGCUAGAUGUGAAAGCCCCGGGCUCAACCUGGGAUGGUCAUUUAGAACUGGCAGACUAGAGUCUUGGAGAGGGGAGUGGAAUUCCAGGUGUAGCGGUGAAAUGCGUAGAUAUCUGGAGGAACAUCAGUGGCGAAGGCGACUCCCUGGCCAAAGACUGACGCUCAUGUGCGAAAGUGUGGGUAGCGAACAGGAUUAGAUACCCUGGUAGUCCACACCGUAAACGCUGUCUACUAGCUGUGUGUGCCUUUAAGGCGUGCGUAGCGAAGCUAACGCGCUAAGUAGACCGCCUGGGGAGUACGGCCGCAAGGUUAAAACUCAAAUGAAUUGACGG